rnacentral:rRNA from 1 species
GAUGAACGCUAGCGAUAGGCUUAACACAUGCAAGUCGAGGGGCAGCAUGGUCUUAGCUUGCUAUGCCUGAUGGCCACAGGCGCGCGGGUCAGUAACGCGUAUGCAACUUGACUCUCAGAGGGGGAUAACCCACCGAGGCACAGACUGAUACCGCGUACCUUCUGCCUUGGGCAUGCUGGAAAGAUGCGAUGGAAUUGGCUGUGCGAUAGGCAUGCGUCCCAUUGGCUAGUGGGUGAGGUAACGGCUCCCCUAGGCGACGAUGGGUAGGGGAGCUGAGAGGUUGAGCCCUGACAGUGGUACUGAGAAACUGAGCAGACUGCUACGGGAGGCAGCAGUGAGGAAUAUUGGUGAAGGGGAGAGAGCCCGAACGAGCGAAGUCGCGUGAAGGAAGACUGUCUUAGGGAUGAUAAACUUCUUGUAGUCGAGAGUUACAAGAGGCACGGGAGACUCCCUGAAGGUACCGUAUAAAGAAGCACCGGCUAACUCCGUG